UUUCCGUAGGUGAACCUGCGGAAGGAUCAUUACAGAGUUCAUGCCCUCACGGGUAGAUCUCCCUCCCUUGAAUAUUAUACCUUCGUUGCUUUGGCAGGCCGUGGAAACACCAGAGGCUCCGGCUGAUGCGUGCCUGCCAGAGGAAACAAACUCUGUUUUUAGUGACGUCUGAGUACUAUAUAAUAGUUAAAACUUUCAACAACGGAUCUCUUGGUUCUG
rnacentral:misc_RNA from 1 species